ACAUAAGUUACUUAAAAUUAGGAAGUAAAAAUAAAAACAAGUAGGUUGACAAUAGAAGAAAGUAGUGGUUUUUGAAGAACCAAUCCUUGAUGGAUUGAAUGAAGGCCCAAAUGCCUAGCUGGCUAUGAAAAGAAGAAAAUUAGAACUUUGAAGCUUCAAUUAGCUGGAAUCUCUGUGUUAAGAUCAAAGGUUGAAAGAGAAUUUUCUCAAUCAACCGAGAAAGAAAAUGUUGAUAAAAGCUGUUCUUCAAGCCAUCUUUACCUAUGCUAUGUCUAUCUUGAAAUCCCCUGAGACGUUUUGCCAAAAGCUUUGUAGCAAAAUAACAAGGUUUUGGUAGAGUAAAUCUGGGAGGUGGGGUGGGUGCUAAAAUUAUCCACCAGAAGUAGUCUUAUAUGAAACACACAUAUCCAAACAAGCUUUGGGAGUUAUUAAUAGUAACGAGUCUUUGUGGGUUACUAUGCUGAAAGCACUAUACUUAAAGGAUUGUGAAUUUGGUUAGGAGAGUCAUAACUCAGAGAAAUGGGAGAAGAGCAAUUGGGUCAGGGGAGUUUGUUAAGAUUACCACUGACUAGUAGCUUACUAAUGGUUCGUUGGCUCAAUCUUCGGAUUCUGGUAGUGGAAAUGUGUGGACGACAAUACUUAUCCUCCAGGUACCGGGUUCGAUUUUCACGGAAGGCAAAAACUCGCUAUUUUCUAUGGAAAGGAAAUGGGGGGGUGAGAAUGUCGUAACUAACAGUGCCGAUAACGGUAAGGGUCAAGCUGUUGUGACAUAUGUGUCCUCUGGUUCUAGUAAACCUGUGGUAUCCUCAACUUGCUUUGACUUUUUAUGGUCAAGUUAUUUGUCAUCAAAUUUAACAUGUAUUGAUUCUUCCACAGUUUGAGUUUCCUUAUUGAACACACUAUAGCUUUGGAUCUUUUAGAGUAUCCAAGGAAGAUAUACUUUUGCAAGCGGGGAUCAAACUUGUCAAUGUUGUCUUUAGUGUUUAACAUAUAACAAAUUCAACCAAAUUGCUUAAAGUAAUAGAUAUUAGGCUUUUUAUCCUUCCAUAAUUCAUAUGAUGUUUUAUUCAAUAUUG
rnacentral:lncRNA from 1 species